GAUCCUGGCUCAGAAUCAACGCUGGCGGCGUGCCUAACACAUGCAAGUCGAACGAGAAAGUGGAGCAAUCCAUGAGUAAAGUGGCGCACGGGUGAGUAACACGUGACUAACCUACCCUUGAGUGGGGGAUAACCUCGGGAAACCUUGGCUAAUACCGCAUAAUACCUACGGGUCAAAGGAGCAAUUCGCUUAAGGAGGGGGUCGCGGCAGAUUAGUUAGUUGGCGGGGUAAUGGCCCACCAAGACAGUGAUCUGUAUCCGGCCUGAGAGGGCGCACGGACACACUGGAACUGAAACACGGUCCAGACUCCUACGGGAGGCAGCAGUGGGGAAUUUUGCGCAAUGGGGGAAACCCUGACGCAGCAACGCCGCGUGGAGGAUGAAGUCCCUUGGGACGUAAACUCCUUUCGACCGGGACGAUAAUGACGGUACCGGAAGAAGAAGCCCCGGCUAACUUCGUGCCAGCAGCCGCGGUAAUACGAGGGGGGCGAGCGUUGUUCGGAAUUAUUGGGCGUAAAGGGUGCGUAGGCGGUUCGGUAAGUUUCGUGUGAAAUCUUCGGGCUCAACUCGAAGCCUGCACGAGAUACUGCCGGGCUUGAGUGUGGGAGAGGUGAGUGGAAUUUCCGGUGUAGCGGUGAAAUGCGUAGAUAUCGGAAGGAACACCUGUGGCGAAAGCGGCUCACUGGACCAC
rnacentral:rRNA from 1 species